rnacentral:rRNA from 1 species
CGGGUGAGUAACACGUAUCCAACCUGCCGUCUACUCUUGGACAGCCUUCUGAAAGGAAGAUUAAUACAAGAUGGCAUCAUGAGUUCACAUGUUCACAUGAUUAAAGGUAUUCCGGUAGACGAUGGGGAUGCGUUCCAUUAGAUAGUAGGCGGGGUAACGGCCCACCUAGUCUUCGAUGGAUAGGGGUUCUGAGAGGAAGAUCCCCCACAUUGGAACUGAGACACGGUCCAA